rnacentral:rRNA from 1 species
GGUAGCAAUACCAUGGGGUGGCGAGUGGCGGACGGGUGAGGAAUCCAUCGGAUUCUACCUUUUCGUGGGGGAUAACGUAGGGAAACUUACGCUAAUACCGCAUACGACCUUAGGGUGAAAGCGGAGGACCUUCGGGCUUCGCGCGGAUAGAUGAGCCGAUGUCGGAUUAGCUAGUUGGCGGGGUAAAGGCCCACCAAGGCGACGAUCCGUAGCUGGUCUGAGAGGAUGAUCAGCCACACUGGAACUGAGACACGGUCCAGACUCCUACGGGAGGCAGCAGUGGGGAAUAUUGGACAAUGGGCGCAAGCCUGAUCCAGCCAUGCCGCGUGGGUGAAGAAGGCCUUCGGGUUGUAAAGCCCUUUUGUUGGGAAAGAAAAGCAGCCGGUUAAUACCCGGUUGUUCUGACGGUACCCAAAGAAUAAGCACCGGCUAACUUCGUGCCAGCAGCCGCGGUAAUACGAAGGGUGCAAGCGUUACUCGGAAUUACUGGGCGUAAAGCGUGCGUACGUGGGUGUUUAAGUCCGUUGGUGAAACCCCUGGGCUCAACCUGGGAAUUGCAGUGGA